rnacentral:rRNA from 1 species
GACGAACGCUGGCGGCGUGCCUAAUACAUGCAAGUAGAACGCUGAAGAGAGGAGCUUGCUCUUCUUGGAUGAGUUGCGAACGGGUGAGUAACGCGUAGGUAACCUGCCUGGUAGCGGGGGAUAACUAUUGGAAACGAUAGCUAAUACCGCAUAAAAUGGAUUAUCGCAUGAUAAUCCAUUGAAAGGUGCAAAUGCAUCACUACCAGAUGGACCUGCGUUGUAUUAGCUAGUUGGUGGGGUAACGGCUCACCAAGGCGACGAUACAUAGCCGACCUGAGAGGGUGAUCGGCCACACUGGGACUGAGACACGGCCCAGACUCCUACGGGAGGCAGCAGUAGGGAAUCUUCGGCAAUGGACGGAAGUCUGACCGAGCAACGCCGCGUGAGUGAAGAAGGUUUUCGGAUCGUAAAGCUCUGUUGUAAGAGAAGAACGGGUGUGAGAGUGGAAAGUUCACACUGUGACGGUAUCUUACCAGAAAGGGACGGCUAACUACGUG